CGGUCCGACCCUCAGACGCAACUUGGACAACAAACUGAAAGUUGUGUUUGCUCAUUGCUGCUCCACUUUACCUAUUUCACAGUUUCAAGAGGUCCAUGGGAUGUAAUCAGAAGAUGAAUAACAAACAAGCUUGGCAUUCAUCAUAAGAUCCUCAAAAAGCCAGACUGGAUGAUUGACAACCCGACCACCUCUGAUGUCAAUUGCGGUGUCUGCCCCCGCCCCCCGGACCCGCCUCUUCCUGCCUGGCCCCUGUACUUGACAGGAAGUGUCACCAUCUUAGUUUGUCUAAACUGAGUCGUGUCCUUGGAUUCAAUCACUUACAUUUAUUAUUAAUAUUUAGUCACAUUUAUUUUGUGUCCUUAUUUAUUCACUUAGAUUCGUGUCCUUAAAUUACUUAAAUAAAAAACUCUUUGCC